GAUGAACGCUGGCGGCGUGCCUAAUACAUGCAAGUCGAGCGAACGGACGAGAAGCUUGCUUCUCUGAUGUUAGCGGCGGACGGGUGAGUAACACGUGGAUAACCUACCUAUAAGACUGGGAUAACUUCGGGAAACCGGAGCUAAUACCGGAUAAUAUUUUGAACCGCAUGGUUCAAAAGUGAAAGACGGUCUUGCUGUCACUUAUAGAUGGAUCCGCGCUGCAUUAGCUAGUUGGUAAGGUAACGGCUUACCAAGGCAACGAUGCAUAGCCGACCUGAGAGGGUGAUCGGCCACACUGGAACUGAGACACGGUCCAGACUCCUACGGGAGGCAGCAGUAGGGAAUCUUCCGCAAUGGGCGAAAGCCUGACGGAGCAACGCCGCGUGAGUGAUGAAGGUCUUCGGAUCGUAAAACUCUGUUAUUAGGGAAGAACAUAUGUGUAAGUAACUGUGCACAUCUUGACGGUACCUAAUCAGAAAGCCACGGCUAACUACGUGCCAGCAGCCGCGGUAAUACGUAGGUGGCAAGCGUUAUCCGGAAUUAUUGGGCGUAAAGCGCGCGUAGGCGGUUUUUUAAGUCUGAUGUGAAAGCCCACGGCUCAACCGUGGAGGAUCAUUGGAAACUGGAAAACUUGAGUGCAGAAGAGGAAAGUGGAAUUCCAUGUGUAGCGGUGAAAUGCGCAGAGAUAUGGAGGAACACCAGUGGCGAAGGCGACUUUCUGGUCUGUAACUGACGCUGAUGUGCGAAAGCGUGGGGAUCAAACAGGAUUAGAUACCCUGGUAGUCCACGCCGUAAACGAUGAGUGCUAAGUGUUAGGGGGUUUCCGCCCCUUAGUGCUGCAGCUAACGCAUUAAGCACUCCGCCUGGGGAGUACGACCGCAAGGUUGAAACUCAAAGGAAUUGACGGGGACCCGCACAAGCGGUGGAGCAUGUGGUUUAAUUCGAAGCAACGCGAAGAACCUUACCAAAUCUUGACAUCCUUUGACAACUCUAGAGAUAGAGCUUUCCCCUUCGGGGGACAAAGUGACAGGUGGUGCAUGGUUGUCGUCAGCUCGUGUCGUGAGAUGUUGGGUUAAGUCCCGCAACGAGCGCAACCCUUAAGCUUAGUUGCCAUCAUUAAGUUGGGCACUCUAAGUUGACUGCCGGUGACAAACCGGAGGAAGGUGGGGAUGACGUCAAAUCAUCAUGCCCCUUAUGAUUUGGGCUACACACGUGCUACAAUGGACAAUACAAAGGGCAGCGAAACCGCGAGGUCAAGCAAAUCCCAUAAAGUUGUUCUCAGUUCGGAUUGUAGUCUGCAACUCGACUACAUGAAGCUGGAAUCGCUAGUAAUCGUAGAUCAGCAUGCUACGGUGAAUACGUUCCCGGGUCU
rnacentral:rRNA from 1 species